rnacentral:rRNA from 1 species
AAAUUGUUAGUGGCAGACGGGUGAGUAAUGCGUAGGAAUCUACCUAGUAGUACGGAAUAGCCAUUAGAAAUGGUGGGUAAUACUGUAUAAUCCCCGAGGGGGAAAGAUUUAUCGCUAUUAGAUGAGCCUACGUUAGAUUAGCUAGUUGGUGAGGUAAUGGCUUACCAAGGCUAUGAUCUAUAGCUGGUCUGAGAGGACGAUCAGCCACACUGGAACUGAGAUACGGUCCAGACUCCUACGGGAGGCAGCAGUGGGGAAUAUUGGACAAUGGGCGAAAGCCUGAUCCAGCUAUGCCGC